rnacentral:rRNA from 1 species
UACGAAGGGGGCUAGCGUUGCUCGGAAUCACUGGGCGUAAAGCGCACGUAGGCGGAUUGUUAAGUCAGGGGUGAAACCCUGGAGCUCAACUCCAGAACUGCCUUUGAUACUGGCGAUCUCGAGUCCGGGAGAGGUGAGUGGAACUGCGAGUGUAGAGGUGAAAUUCGUAGAUAUUCGCAAGAACACCAGUGGCGAAGGCGGCUCACUGGCCCGGUACUGACGCUGAGGUGCGAAGGUCAGGGGAGCAAACGGG